AGCAUAGCCACGGUAAUACGAAGGGUGCAAGCGUUAAUCGGAAUUACUGGGCGUAAAGCGUGCGUAGGCGGUGAGUUAAGUCUGCUGUGAAAUCCCCGGGCUCAACCUGGGAAUGGCAGUGGAUACUGGCUCGCUAGAGUGUGUCAGAGGAUGGUGGAAUUCCCGGUGUAGCGGUGAAAUGCGUAGAGAUCGGGAGGAACAUCAGUGGCGAAGGCGGCCAUCUGGGACAACACUGACGCUGAGGCACGAAAGCGUGGGGAGCAAACAGGAUUAGAUACCCGCGUAGUCCCUGUCUCUUAUACA
rnacentral:rRNA from 1 species